rnacentral:lncRNA from 13 species
ACCUGUUGCCAGCAUUUUGGGAUGCGGAGGCAGGAGGAUCACUUAAAGCCAUGAGUUCCAGACCAGCCUGGGCACCAAACAGGUGUAAGGAUGAUCAUGAUCAGGAGGAGCAUGAGCAAGAAUAGAGCUGUGGACAGAAAUACGUGGGAUCAGAUAUUGGGGCCAGGAAGGUGAGCCUUAGUUCGUUGUCAAACU